UACGGAGGGUCCAAGCGUUAUCCGGAAUCAUUGGGUUUAAAGGGUCCGUAGGCGGUUUUGUAAGUCAGUGGUGAAAGCCCAUCGCUCAACGGUGGAACGGCCAUUGAUACUGCAAGACUUGAAUUAUUAGGAAGUAACUAGAAUAUGUAGUGUAGCGGUGAAAUGCUUAGAGAUUACAUGGAAUACCAAUUGCGAAGGCAGGUUACUACUAAUGGAUUGCCGCUGAUGGACGAAAGCGUGGGUAGCGAACAGG
rnacentral:rRNA from 1 species